GAGAAUAAUUGCAGUGGUAAAGAC
rnacentral:siRNA from 1 species